CAUCUCCAGCUUAUGAUCAUGAAAAAAACUAAACUAAGACAGUCCUAUGCUGAAAUGCUGUGGUCUGUCCUGUUCGUGAGGGAACUGGACGGCCAACUUUCUUCCCACGCGUGAGCGUCAUCCCCCGGGGCAUUGGUGGUAACAUCACGGUCAAGUAUUGGUGAAACAUCGCCCACAACACCGCCUGCGACAUCACGAUUCUACAGGCAAACAGCCUGCAACAUCACGAUUCUACAGGCAAACAGCCUGCGACAUCACGAUUCUACAGGCAAACAUCCUGCAACAUCACGAUUCUACAGGCAAACAGCCUGCAACGGUACUCACUAUUGCUUGAAGCAGCUUAACGCCCACACAAUCAUGUCUGUGUACGGCUCCAUCGACAGAUUUCACCGUGGACAUGUGUAGUAUGAAACCAAGCAAUCAACGCCCACCGACAUCUUCACCUUUUACCUUCUAUUGGAUAGUUCUCACGAAAUAGUCCCAAGAAACACAACCGUAUCUGAAACCCUGUCUGUUGAAAAGACAAGAAAAUAAAAUCAGUUUUAUUUUGAGUUGAAACAAUAUUGUGAACAGGGGCAUGUCUGAGAUGAACGAUUUCAGUAGACCUCGGCCGUAAGGAUAAGGAUUACUGCUGAGAUACGUGGUCAUGUGACAUAGAAACCAGAAUGAAGGUACAUCUAUUGGGAGAGACUUUUAUCAAAAACUUUUUGUGUACCACGGCCGUACCUCGGGAUAUGUUCAACACGAAGAGGAGUCAGUGAUGAGAACAGCUGAGUCUCAAUGAUUGUGUACACAGUCUAACACAGUAUCCUAGUUCCCCACACCAUUGCCAUUCACUGGACGACCUCAAGCAUAACUGUGUGGUGCCUAGUCAUUGACAGUGGUUCAACGUCUUGGAUUCGAACUCUUGCAACAUGUACAAGUCAGGACCACGGCGGCAGGACUCUCCCCAACCACACUUUCUUCAAUCCAAACCAACGAACAACACCAGCAAGACUCCACCACCCCCCACACUAAAACCCGGGGGCAUCACCAACAAAACUCCCCC